rnacentral:rRNA from 1 species
CCACGCCGUAAACGAUGAGUACUAAGUAUCUGGGAAUCUGGGUGCUAAAGUUAACGCAAUAAGUACUCCGCCUGAGUAGUACGUGCGCAAGCAUAAAACUCAAAGGAAUUGGCGGGACCUCGCACAAGCGGUGGAUCAUGUUGUUUAAUUCGAUGAUACGCGAUGAACCUUACCAGGCCUUGACAUACCAAGCAAUGCUAUAGAGAUAUAGUGGAGGUUAUCUUGGAUACAGGUGGUGCAUGGUUGU